rnacentral:rRNA from 1 species
GACGAACGCUGGCGGCGUGCUUAACACAUGCAAGUCGAACGAUGAAGCCGGAGCUUGCUCUGGUGAAUUAGUGGCGAACGGGUGAGUAACACGUGAGUAACCUGCCCUUGACUCUGGGAUAACUGCGGGAAACUGUAGCUAAUACCGGAUACGACCCUCGGAGGCAUCUCCUGGGGGUGGUAAGAAUUUCGGUCAAGGAUGGACUCGCGGCCUAUCAGCUAGUUGGUGAGGUAAAGGCUCACCAAGGCGACGACGGGUAGCCGGCCUGAGAGGGUGACCGGCCACACUGGGACAGAGACACGGCCCAGACUCCUACGGGAGGCAGCAGUGGGGAAUAUUGCACAAUGGGCGCAAGCCUGAUGCAGCAACGCCGCGUGAGGGAUGACAGCCUUCGGGUUGUAAACCUCUUUUAGCAGGGAAGAAGCGAAAGUGACGGUACCUGCAGAAAAAGCACCGGCUAACUACGUGCCAGCCGCCGCGGUAA